rnacentral:rRNA from 1 species
UACAGAGGGCUCAAGCGUUGUUCGGAUUCAUUGGGCGUAAAGGGUGUGUAGGUGGCGCGCUAAGUCGGGUGUGAAAUUUCGGAGCUUAACUCCGAAACUGCAUUCGAUACUGGCGUGCUUGAGGACUGGAGAGGAGACUGGAAUUUACGGUGUAGCAGUGAAAUGCGUAGAUAUCGUAAGGAAGACCAGUGGCGAAGGCGGGUCUCUGGACAGUUCCUGACACUGAGACACGAAGGCCAGGGGAGCAAACGGG